ACGGACUAGCAGUUAUCGAGUGGAUAUAGAAGUUAAUGGACAUGUUUCUCUUAGUGGAGACUUCAUGUUGGUAGGGCAAGCAUGCACUGUAAAGUGAGACGUAAGGAAAUGUAAAAUGAGGAUGGAUGUUAGUAAUGUUUAAUUUUUGUAACUGAAUAUCACAUGAAUAAGCUGGCUGUAGUUGCUGCUUGCUAUAACUGCUGUAGUUCGUGUUAUGAACAUUUUCUGUAAGAAUCUCCUAACACCUAUGACAGCACAGGCGUAAUGGAGGUUGUUUUUGCUGAUAAUACCAAGGAUAUGAAUCCCUGUUCAUAGAUGCCUGAAGUAAGCACGCCAUUGUUGACACAUUCAAGAGUUAAGAAACAUAAAACGCUUUCAUAAUAAGUCAUUAUAUGAUAGCACAUCAGUUGUCACAAAAUAAAUGUUGUAAUAUUCUAAAACCCCAUUUUUGUUCAUAAUUAAACAAUUAUGUAGUCAUUUACAAAUAGGUGGUGUGUGAUGCCUUGUGUGUAAGCUGAAUGCAGAUCAUAUGCCUGGAAUUAUAUUAAUUAAAUAUAGGCUAAAUUGUGUGCAACCCACUGAGCUGCAGUCAAGUGUGUGGCAAAUAAUACGAAAUGAAGGAAGAGUUGAGCACUUCAGAUUAAACAAUUUGUGCAUUACAAAAUAUGCAAAGAGCAUAGAAAGUAGUUCUAAUUUGUGUUUUCCUAUCUGAUGAGACUGGGUAUAAAAAGCCUCUAAAUGAUUUUAAGAAGCCCUUGGCAUCCUCAUUUUGAUUUAAAUGGAGGCUUUGUGAAUAGAGCUAACAUUGGUUCCACAAGCUUGCAGAUAUUUCCAAAUGAGACAACUGGUAAGCAAAUUAAUAUGUUACUCUCUUCACAGGUUUUAUCUGUAUUGUAAUGUAGUCUGAAAAUAUUGCAUUAAUUGUUGACCUCAUCCUCUCCCACACAAAUUUCACAUCAUUUGGAGAGGUGGAGGGGGAACCCAGAUGUUUGGUGUGUACAUACAUCGGCAGUGCUUAUAAUUACUUAUUAAGCUUGCCUCCUGUUUAAGGUAGAAUCUUCGUCAUUGCCUAUAGAGCUACAAAGAAAUAUGCUUGAACUCUUACAUAUUUCAAAGUAUAUUCUCCAUUCUAGUAUUUUAAACUGGGGUUACUUACACCAUUUCCUGGUAACUUUGACCCACUAGUGAGGAAAAAAUCUUUAAUUUUGUCCCAGGUGAAAGUUACUGUCCUUAUCUAAGAGAAAUCAGGGCAGCAGUCAUUCUCAGUGUGGAAAGAAUGAUCCUGAAGGAGGCGAGUUAACAUAUCUUCUUGGGAUAUUGGCAGCACUAUACCAAAUGUUGAUUGUAAAUAUUGUAAGAGCUAUUACCUCCCAAAAACUUCUGCCUGGGGAUUAGGAGAGUGUAAUUUUACUUUCUGUCAGUAUUAUUUAAUAGGGUGAGCAAAUGUCAUUUGUGUAAAAUACAGCUUAGUUAUGAUGUAAAUAAAAUAGAAAGAA